rnacentral:rRNA from 1 species
CAGCCGCCGCGGUAAUACGAAGGGUGCAAGCGUUAAUCGGAAUUACUGGGCGUAAAGCGUGCGUAGGCGGUUUGUUAAGUCUGUUGUGAAAUCCCCGGGCUCAACCUGGGAACUGCAUUUGAGACUGUAUGGCUAGAGUGUGUCAGAGGGGGGUAGAAUUCCACGUGUAGCAGUGAAAUGCGUAGAUAUGUGGAGGAAUACCGAUGGCGAAGGCAGCCCCCUGGGAUAACACUGACGCUCAUGCACGAAAGCGUGGGGAGCAAACGGGAUUAGAUACCCCUGUAGUCCCUGUCUCUUAUAC